rnacentral:rRNA from 1 species
AUGAAGAGACUCUUGAGGGGCUCAUCGAGCCGAAGCUCGAAGGAAAAGGCACAGAAGCCCAAAUAUAAUCUACCUCGCAGCGCGGAGGUUCGGUCGUGUGAAUGGCCUUCCGAUAAUUUCUUGAGAGCAGCCGGGAUUUAUGAAGACUUUUAUGAAUUGGCUGAGAAUGCAGGACUCACCGCUUUCCUCCACGACCAACGCGACCAGUAUCUCUUACUCACAAAUAUCUUUGUGCAAAACUUUCAUUUCCAUUCUAGGAGCUCACCACCUACGGUGGAGUUUUAUUUAUAUGAUGAGCAUAAGGAGAUGUCACUUUAUGAUUUUUAUCGGGUUUGUUUGGUCCCUUUCAAGGGCACGACAGAGGAACCACACGCGGUGAUGUGGAUGGGUUUAUUGAUACCAUCACUGUAG